AUAUAUAUAUAUAUAUAUAUAACCCCACAUAAAAACCCAAAACCCUCCCAUUCAAGUGCAAAAUUGCCCUUCUCUUCCUCUGAACAUCUGAUUUAUCACAUGAUGAAACACCCAUUAAUGUUUUCAUCACUGAAAUAGUAGAAAGAGUCCAGUGGGUUCAUUUGAUUAUAUCUACUUGGAUGUGCAUACAGUGGAACAUAAUAGAAAGGACCAGAACUUUCCCUAGGGUAUGCCAUACUGUAACUUGAUGCGUAUACCGGAGGAAUGAUGAACCCUUGUGGGAAGGGAACCGAUUCAUGACAUGUAGGGCUGAGAUUACUCGGGCCCACUAGUUGAUCCAUUCCUACCCCCGGAGUUUCACAUCCAGUACCUGCAGCUGCACCAGAAGACGAUGAACCUGAACCUGCAUCGUUGUUGCCAUUAUCACCUUUUUGCCCCUUCUUUUUCUUCAUUUUGCCUUCACUUUUGGCAACCCCACCACCACCACCACCCUCAUUUUCACCAGCAGUGUUCUUCACCGUCGGCAAUUCCAUAUCCUCGAUAGCAUUUUCCAGUGACUUCACGACAUCUUUUGUCUUUUCAGUCAUUCCAUCUUCACUAAAUUUAACAGAUUUUUUCCUUCCAUUACCAUUGAAAUCGUGGCCUUUGUUUGCGUCCUUUUGCUUGUGCAUGUCCUUUGCUUUGGCUGAUUCUUUUUCCUCUGAUAAGAAGAGUUUUUCAGGCCAAAUCUGUGCAUGCUUUCCUGUUUUGAUGAGUUUCUUGAUCAAGGUCUCAACUUCGAUGUUGCCUGUAACUGUGACUCUUUGUUGCUGUGAAUCUACUGUUGCUGUAUAAACACCAUCGAUCCCUUGCAGAACUUUCUUGACCUUUCUUUUGCAACCUUGGCAGUGGAUAGAUACCUUCAGGACCCAUGUCUGGCAUUUUAGAGCUUUGUAGGGUUCUUCACCAAAUGUUGUUGUAGCCAUCAGAAGGGAUCGAUGUAGGAGACUGUUGAGACCUUGAAAGAGGCCGGGCGAGA
rnacentral:misc_RNA from 1 species